AGGAGACCACUGAGGAUCUAUCUGCACAAUCUGAGCAAGCCGUCCCAUGCAGAAAGCAGCAGUACAUCCCCCAGGAUGUGGAAAAACAGAGAGGUAGGGGCCUCAUUCACCCCAUGCCCAGAGUGCCCAUGGCAUCAUCAUCCUCUAUGCUGCAGCCCUGUGGCUUGCCUGGCCACCAUCACAGCAAGCUGUUGCCUUCUGCAACCAGCCUUCCCCAGCCAUGUGAAGUUUCUGAGCUGCACCUGGCUGGGAUGCAAUAUUUAAACCCACCAGUACGCCAAGAGUCAUGACGUUGGGAUGCUGCACACAUUGCUAUGCUAUAGCAGUGCUCAGCGUCAACAAGGCAGAGCCAUAUCCCUGAUUAUUUUUCUGAAUGCAUUUCAGAACGGCACAGGAUAUGUAUAUAUAUUUUAUGAAUUAUAACAAGAUGAUGGAAAUGAAUUCAUUCGCAUAUUCAAAAGGACAAAUACUUCAUCUUUGCUUAAAUGUUUAACCAAAAGUGCUGCACUGGGGGCUAAAAAUGAUAAACCCUCCAAUUUCUUGCUUGCAAUCCCAGAAGACAGCUACUACAACAUCCCUGAGCAGCUGUGAGAGAAUAUGUGAUGCUGCACACAAUGCACUAACGCUACAGAACAGUGGCGCUGCUGGAUCUGGGCUGGAAAAAUGAAAGCAUUCUUACAAGCAGAAGUUAGCAGAGCUAUUAAAACCGUGUAGUUGCUAUGCAGUAGGUUCCAGCAAGCUUACAUGGAGGGAGAGAAAAAGGGGUAAUCCUGUAAAGUGAAGAAGUUUAGGAAUAAAACAACCCAGAGAACCUCUGCACAGGAUUCCAGUGUAGCUCUUAAUAUAUAAUUUUGCAUUGUUGCUCUGCUUUCUAACCUUACUAAAAUGCCGGCUUGCAGCUUGGCACUGUUGUACUUCAAUCAAUUGCUCGAACGAGGAUUGCAAUGUCAUAAAUUAAAGGUGCUAAGACCAUAAAUUUCCAGGGAGAUGUAAAAUCAAAGAGAACAAUCCAAGUGACUCCCAGGGGUGGGAGCCCGACACAUACUCCAGCUGUUGGGCUGUAUGCACUGCGUUAGUGCCCUCCUUCCCCCAAACAAACUGGGGGGUACAGGGUUACCUUCACCUCUUGAGCCAGGGCUUCCUUGCUCAGUAUUCCAUGCUGCUUUUAAAAGCUGUGCUGCCAGUGAGGGGAGCAGCUUCUCGACUUCAGCU